GGAAGUUGCUGUAGUCACGUGGUUGCGACCCAGGCUUCCCUCUUCCGUCGUGCGAGCCAGCUCGAUUUUCUCUUGUUUUGUAGCUGCAGCGCCAGGCUGAUUAAAGAUGAAUCGGCAAGCGCAUGAAAGAGGAACCGCAAAGGUCGUUCGAGUAGGACUGAAAACUGGAACCGCGGAGCUCGGUCGAGUGGGACUAUGCAAAGACGAACAGUCUCACAGUUUUCUUGACAGAGUGCCCCUGGACUUGAAAGAAGGCGCGGUGCACAUUGCAGCUGCUGGGAGAAACGCAGCACGAGCCUCUGUUGAGAAAUGGAAGUCUUCGUUCACACCAGCAGGCGGUAAAAAUCCUGAAGGUGAUAUCCAAGAGCAUAGCAGGGGUGAACUGUAUGACCCCUUUGACCAGGAGACGUAUGAAUCGGUCAAUGACAGCUUCCAACUUGCACAGGCUGACAGCCUGGAGCAACACCAACGCUUGUCCCCGGGCAGGACCUGCCGUGACGCUGCCCCAUGGGAGUUAAGGCGGCCCCUUGACCUACACGGCGAGGGCAGUCCUGUUGACGGUCUGCCCAAAUGGCGGUCCUACUUCCCGGACAAAGAAUCAUUGGAGCCACCAGCGUAUGGAUCCAUCAGCAGAGCUCUCAGGCUCGGCGACAACUCGUCGGGUCUGGAAUUGCCUGCACGCUAUGGAGAUGAAAGGAUGUCAUGGCCAGAGCAGAGAAGCACGAUCGUCUCACGUGUUAGACUGUCCUCACCCAGGUUGCAGCCAGACCAUCCAAUGGUGGCGCCUGUCGAAGAAGAAGAGGAAGACUGCGCACCUUCAAGUAGUAUGAAAAGGUCCAAGACCAAGUCCGUACAAAUGGAUCAGAUAACCAUCAACUGCGACCUGUGCGACAUUCAAGUGAGCAACGGGCAGGAGCUGGAGGAGCACUUGGAGAGCAAACUUCACUGGGACCUGAUGGCACACAUCCAGCUGCAUAAUCAUUAUGAUGACAUCAUCAUGGCCUUCCUGCAGGACAUCUUGCUGUACAAAAGCAUCAAGUGCAGCCCGCCCGUAGAUGACCGCGAUCUUCCAGCUCUGCAGGAGAAGGAGCACAUGACCAAGGUGGCGUUGUUCCACUGCGCCGCGUGCCAGCUGCUCCUAUCCACCACCAAGGAGGCGGUGCAGAAUCACAUGAGGUCUGCGGAACACCUGGCCAGGGCGAAGGAGUUUGGAGCGCAGCAGAAGCAUGCGUCACUUGACAGGGCCGAGACCAUCAUGAAGGAGCUGCAGCCGCAGUUUGACGACUUCCUCAAGGGGUUCGGCAAGCUGGAGUGAAGACCCCCAAACAUCUUCUGCUGUCUGCCACAAGUUUACCGUGGACUUGACUAACUUUCACCAUCACACGCAUUUUGAAGCUUUUCAGGAGGCGGCGAUGGGAGUGUCCUCCUGGUCGCUCUUGACGCCCGCCAAGUCUGCGGAGGGCGAUGUGGCCUCCACCAUGCCCAGCCCAGUGUGUGGGACCCCAGUGUUCAUGAUGUGUCUCUGGAGGUGCUUCACCCAGUCCUCCUGGACCGACAAAGGACCCUGGAAGACCAGGUCACAGAACCUGCGAGGAGAAGCACGCCGGCAUGCGGUCAAACGGCACACGCGCCCGCCCGCCAUGAAGACGUUACCUGCACGUGAGUCUGUACAUAUCCUCGGGUGUUUGGGUCAACGGCGGCGACUUCUUCUUGGAGCUCUGCCGUAAACGCUGCCUCCUCGCUUUGCAGUCAAACGCUGAAAGACAAUUAGUGGACAAUUAGGACUUGGUUCAUGAGUUAUCUUUUUGCUUCCAAUCUAUCCUGCCGUCAAAAAGUCAACAUAUUAGGCAUAGUCCCCUAAUUGGAUAAACAACUCAAUUGUUCUAGAACGCUAAGGACCGGACUUCCUCCUUCACUAUUAGCCCAGGAGAUGUCCGAUAAUGGCUUUUUUGCUGCUAUCGUCCAACUCUUAUUUACCGAUUCUGAUAUCAGCUGAUGCUGAUAUAUUUAACACAUUAUUUAUUAUACCUAAUUUUGUUGUGAUGCAUUAAACAAUGUAACAAGGUUUGCCAAAAUAAAUCAACUCAAGUUAUGGAAAAAAAUUGCCAACAUGGCACUGCCAUAUUUAUUAUUGAAAUCACAAAGUCAC